rnacentral:rRNA from 1 species
GACGAACGCUGGCGGCGUGCUUAACACAUGCAAGUCGAACGGGAUUUCGUAAACAGAAACCUCGGUGGAAGAUUACUAAUGAGAGUGGCGAACGGGUGAGUAACGCGUGAGCAACCUGCCUAUGACAGUGGGAUAGCCUCGGGAAACCGGGAUUAAUACCGCAUAAAAUCGUAGAAACACAUGUUUUAACGGUCAAAGAUUUAUCGGUCAUAGAUGGGCUCGCGUCUGAUUAGCUAGUUGGUGAGAUAACAGCCCACCAAGGCGACGAUCAGUAGCCGGUCUGAGAGGAUGAACGGCCACAUUGGAACUGAGACACGGUCCAAACUCCUACGGGAGGCAGCAGUGGGGAAUAUUGCACAAUGGGGGAAACCCUGAUGCAGCGACGCCGCGUGAACGAAGAAGGUAUUCGUAUCGUAAAGUUCUGUCCUAUGGGAAGAUAAUGACAGUACCAUAGAAGAAAGCUCCGGCUAAAUACGU